GCAUCUCAGCGCCAGGCGACAGGUCCCUGUGUAACCAGCCGCCCUGCCCCAGAGGUGGCCACAUCUCAGCGCUGGGCGAGGGGUCCCUGUGUAACCAGCCGCCCUGCCCCAGAGGUGGCUGCAUCUCAGUGCUGGGCAAGGGGUCCCUGGGUAACCAGCCGCCCCACCCCAGAGGUGGCCGCAUCUCAGCGCCAGGAGAGGCGUCCCUAUGUAGCCAAACCUGGUGAC